rnacentral:lncRNA from 1 species
GAAUCCAGAAUCCACUUGGCUCACCUCCCACCUUUACCUUAGUUAUGUCAUUUUUCAUAUAAGGAGAACGACUCUCUCUGACUCUCUCUCUCUCUCUCUCUCUCUCUCUCUCUCUCUCUCUCUCUCCCCUCUCUCUCCCCUCUCUCUCCCUUCUCUUUCUGCUGUCAUCUUCCCCUCUCUCUCUCCCUAUAAACCUCUUACACCUGGAACUGUUUGGGCCCAGUGUGCUGUGUUCAGAUGUGAGCCACUAUUUUAACACAUCAUUUGGAGCCGAAACCCGGAACUCAGCGGUACCGUCAAUAGCCACUGUGGAGUCCCACUGAGAAGCUCUGCAGAGGUGCAGAGGUGUCCGGCACAAACACAAGCGAUGAGAUCGUGGUCACCCAGCAGACUCCUACCACCGACUGCAGCCUGUAACUGUGGCUGCUGUGAGUGCAUGGCUACGCCACUCAGCUACAACCACAGCCAGCAGAACAGGCCAGAACUCUUGCCUCUUGGAGCGGCAGAACAAACAGCAUCCCAGCCCCUCAGUUGGUUGCUACAGGAACACCUUGACCUCGCUGUCGUGAUAGCAAUAGAAGCAGCCUCCAUGUGACUCAGUGACGGAGAGGCGGAAUGAGAAGAAAGUAGACACUGUUCUAAGGAGGUGAAGAGGGAGCAAGCGUGUGCUUCAGAAAUCUACAGAGGAAAUGACAGGGAGCCUGUGCAGGAUGAAGGAGAAAUGGACGAUGCUCUGGUCAUUGUGGGCAUGGCAAAAUUGCUCAACUCUCCAGAGCCCUGCGGAGAAACUUCGGGUCAAGAAAUAAACCUGCGUGAGCCCCACGCGGAUGUGGACAUCCGCUGCUUAGACAAGAAGGCCUGCACCACCACCACAGUGGCUCAGCUCCAGAGGAUUCGAAACAAGGAACAUCACAUCCAGUCGCAUUUUACCUGCGUGCUGCCGGGAGCUACGCCUGCCAGACUGGAAAGAUGCUCCCUCGGGACCCUGCUGCCAGGACCCUGUGUGAUGAACUGAACCGUCAAAAUGAGGUCUAAUCUCAAGUCUCAGUAUGGGCGUCCAACAACAGAUGAAUGAAGACGAUGAAUAAGAUAUUUACUUAAUGGAGCAUUUUCAACUGAAAGUGUUAAUUCAAUCCUGUCAUUUUCAGCAAGGUAAGAACUGGGACUAUUAAGUGACAUCAAAUAAGCCAGACAUGGAAACUCGAUUACCACAGGUUC